UAGGUGGCAAGCGUUAUCCGGAUUUACUGGGUGUAAAGGGCGUGUAGGCGGGGAAGCAAGUCAGAUGUGAAAACUAUGGGCUCAACCCAUAGCCUGCAUUUGAAACUGUUUUUCUUGAGUGCUGGAGAGGCAAUCGGAAUUCCGUGUGUAGCGGUGAAAUGCAUAGAUAUACGGAGGAACACCAGUGGCGAAGGCGGAUUGCUGGACAGUAACUGACGCUGAGGCGCGAAAGCGUGGGGAGCAAA
rnacentral:rRNA from 1 species